AGCUUGCUGGAGCUUGAAAAGGGAAGAUCAUGCUCCUAGCAGGAGGAAGGAAGUGGCUAGAUGAUUGGCUGCAGUUGCCAGUGAGGGAAGCGGCUAGACGGUGGACUGCAGUUCCCCUGGAACAGCGAAGAUCAGAGCAUGAUACAGCUAAGGGCUGUGUCCGGAAGAGGAUGCCAUGGUCCUUGCUCCAACAUACUUCUAGGAGCAGAAGUGACUGCAUGUGAGACACCAUCAGAAGAGGAUGCACUGGUUAACAGAGCUAAUCCCUGGGACAGCCAGCAGGAGGCACUGCAUUGACUCGUUUUCUAGCCUCUUGUAUUUCUCAUUGCUCGAGGUGAAGCUAAGGAAGAUUGAACCAUUUGUCUGACAUAAAGCUCUACCACCUACUGCCUUGAACUCUUGUCAUUUACUUGAUAUGGUUUGAUCCACACUGUUGAAAUUUCUCUAUUCCCCCGAGAAUAAAUGCACAAAACAACCUAAUUUUCAGCUCUGAGUCGAGUAACACAUUGAUCACACGUAUCUACUGAAAAUACAUGAAAAUAUUUCAAUAUCUUCAGAGAUAAGUGAAACAGACAAGAAAGCAUGAAAAUAGGAGAUUCCACAUUAGCCUACAUAACAGCAUAUACUCAGGCUAAAGAGGAAGUUGGAUCUCCUACAGUUUUUGUACUGUAAUCAUUCCUAUUUAAAUUGAUCACUGUUUAACAUGACCUUGUAUUUAAUUAUGAUUCAAAUUAUUUUUUGUACAAAAAAUAACUAUUUUAAUUAAUGUAAGUCACUGUAGACAAGUAUUAUUUGAAUCCCUAGUUACAGAAGUUACCAUUAAUGAGAAGGUUUAACAUACUAAAUAAAAUCAAGGAGGACCCAUGGUAAUGAAAGAGGGCUUAACUUGAAAUUAGGUGUUUUGCCGCUGCUGCUUUUUAUUCAUAAACAAAAGCUCUACUGUGUUAUGCAAGUUGUGAUGUGCCCCCUGGUGGUUAUACGAAUAAUAGCCACUAAUUUUGGUUUAAGUGUCCAUAAGGGACUUUAAAUCAAAAGUCCCAAUGUGUGUAAAGCAUUGGAUUCUCUCCCCCCUUUCCCCCCGCCCCAGAAACAGCAAAAAUGGAAGGGAAAUCCUUUUUAUAUCAGUUUAUCUGAGAGAGAUUAUAGAAGUAAACAAUUUUGCUUUUUGGUGUGUCCAAGAAAAAGUAAAAACAUGUAUUUUGCUUUGACUUUUGGUCUGUUUCACCAAGAGCGAAAAUGAAACUGACAUAACUUGCUAUGGAGUGGAGGAGCUGAAGGUCAAAAGGGGUGAAGUCCUUUUGCGCUGACUUUAUGCA